rnacentral:misc_RNA from 1 species
GCUAUUGGAUAGCAAAUAAUCAUCAAAAUUCGCACAAGCCAUACAAAGUUGGCACCUACUGCAAGCCCAUAUCUGGAGCAUAUUGCUUGUGGAAUAACCUCCCCAAAAAAGAGAACAAACGUCACAGAGAGUAUUAUAGCAACAUACUGAUUGAAAAGCUUAUCCAGGUAAAUAGGAAGAGCCUCCAUGGAAGCAGCAUUACACAGAAGCAAAGUCACUAGAAGUUGGUGCUGCUUUUGAACCACGGGAAGAAU